UUGAAGNNCUCCAGUUAGUACCCACUGUGCAGCGUCCGUUGAUUCGAUUGCCAACUCUGUCUAGCGUUUCCCUACCCUCGUCUGUGACAGAAUAUUUAAGUAAUUUGUCGAAGCCGCAAAAGAUCAUAAUUGUCAGCGUUGGCACUGGCCUGACACUUGUUGCACUGGUUGCCCGCUACUUGCGCCGGCGUCGGAGGAUCCCUCGGAAAUCUGCAUUGUCAAGGCAUGAUGAUGCAAGUCGUGCUCAUCGAAAAGUGAAACCCAUCACAAUACGGAGUCCUUCUGGGGAGAUUCACAGCAUAGGAGGUAAUAUAUCUCCAGGAUUCCAUCGUUCUGUGCACAGACAGAGCUCUAUAUCUGCUAGCAGUGACAGGAUCAGUGUAGCAUCUGUGUUAACUACACAAGCAGGAGAUGGCAACACACUGACACCUCAACAAUAUGGAGUUAUGGGUAAGUUGCGUGAUC